AAGCUCUAACCGAUGACCACAGUGAGGAUGUGGUGAUUCUUGUGCUCAUGCCGCAGAUGUCUCACCUCACUGUGGCCAGCGCAGUUGGAGCAGUUGCAACCCAAGGCCACGUCGCCGCAGAACGCAGCCGUGGACAGCUCCACCGCUGGCCGUCCAAUCCAUGUUGAUUCCGACUGAUCUUGCGCGAGCACUGAAGGCGUGGAUCAUCACCUGCAGUAGUGCAAGCAGCUCGGUCAAGGGCUCAUCAAGGAUCGGGGUGCGGAUAUAUAGCGGUGGCGAGCUGUCAACGUGCGAAGCGGUCGGAAUGCAUGCCAGUUGAUUGGGACGGAGUACCCGCGUUUCGUUGAGUCGCUCGGGUCUUUCAACCAUAGCCCGGUUUUUUAUAUUGUUUUUUAUGCGGGCACGGGGCUAGUACACAUAAACCAUGUGGCGGAAACAGGGCACUACCGUUUACUAACCAUUAAACCAUGUGGCGGUUUAGUCCAACCACAAAUCCAGACAAAGACCCGACCCGGGCAUCUGAAUCGAUUUAGGCCUUGUUUGUUUGUGUCGAAUUGCACCCGGAAUCGUUCCAGCUAAUCAAAGUUUAUA